rnacentral:lncRNA from 1 species
UUGUCUUUUUUCGUUUUUUUAAUUCUCUAAUUUUAUUUUAUUUUUUGGUAGUGUUGGGAUCAAAUUUAGGUCUUACCCAGGCUAUACAGAGCCAAUUCCUCAGCCCCCUCCACUGUGAAGGCAGCUCAAAUUCCACUCCAUUUGGGCAUCCUGUUUUAUUAGGUAAACUGAGGUACAACCUAAAAACAAUUGGGACUGGUCCCACUCUGACACCCCUAUUUCUAGCUAUGCUCAUUGCCAAGUGGCUGCCCACAGUUGAGCCUUUGCAAGUCCAAGGGUCAGAGCUCUCGGUAGCCCAAUACCCUGAGCUUCUAACCCCUCCCAGCUCUCCGGCCCACGGCCACUUUGAGAACUACCUUCCUCCUUUUUAUAGAACAUCUCUGUCUCUGCCUCUAUUCAUGCAUUCCAGCUUCACUCUUUGCUGCUGGACACAAGUAUCUGGGAAUUCCAAUAGGGUGCUCACACUUGUAUCAACGACUACAGAAUAAGGUACAAGGAGAAAGGAUCAAAAAGUCUAUGAGCCCUUUGUGAGAGGACCAUGCUGGUCCCUGCCUCCAGGAAAGAAG